rnacentral:rRNA from 1 species
GACGAACGCUGGCGGCGUGCUUAACACAUGCAAGUCGAACGGAAAGGCCCUGCUUUUGUGGGGUGCUCGAGUGGCGAACGGGUGAGUAACACGUGAGUAACCUGCCCUUGACUUUGGUAUAACUUCAGGAAACUGGGGCUAAUACCGGAUAGGAGCUCCUGCUGCAUGGUGGGGGUUGGAAAGUUUCGGCGGAUGGGGAUGGACUCGCGGCUUAUCAGCUUGUUGGUGGGGUAGUGGCUUACCAAGGCUUUGACGGGGAGCCGGCCUGAGAGGGUGACCGGCCACAUUGGGACUGAGAUGCGGCACAGACUCCUACGGGAGGCAGCAGUGGGGAAUAUUGCACAAUGGGCGGAAGCCUGGUGCAGCAACGCCGCGUGCGGGAUGACGGCCUUCGGGUUGUAAACCGCUUUCGCCUGUGACGAAGCGUGAGUGACGGUAAUGGGUAAAGAAGCACCGGCUAACUACGUG